rnacentral:rRNA from 1 species
GACCACACGAAGCUGGAAUCGCUAGUAAUCGCGGAUCAGAAUGCCGCGGUGAAUACGUUCCCGGGUCUUGUACACACCGCCCGUCACACCAUGGGAGUCAGCAACGCCCGAAGUCAGUGACCCAACCUUUUAGGAGGGAGCUGCCGAAGGCGGGGCAGGUGACUGGGGUGAAGUCGUAACAAGGUAUC